AGGUGGUGCAUGGCUGUCGUCAGCUCGUGUCGUGAGAUGUUGGGUUAAGUCCCGCAACGAGCGUAACCCUUGUCUUUAGUUGCCAUCAUUUAGUUGGGCACUUUAAAGAGACUGCCGGUGAUAAACCGGAGGAAGGUGAGGACGACGUCAAGUCAGCAUGCCCCUUACGCCCUGGGCUACACACGUACUACAAUGGCCGAGACAAAGAGUCGCAAGUUUGCAAGAACAAGCUAAUCUCAUAAACUCGGUCUCAGUUCGGAUUGCAGGCUGCAACUCGCCUGCAUGAAGUUGGAAUCGCUAGUAAUCGCCGGUCAGCUAUACGGCGGUGAAUCCGUUCCCGGGCCUUGUACACACCGCCCGUCACACCAUGGAAGCUGUUCAUACCCAAAGUCGUUACCUUAACCGUGAGGAGGGGGGCGCCUAAGGUAGGGAUAGUGACUGGGGUGAAGUCGUAACAAGGUAGCCCUACUGGAAGGUGGGGCUGGAUCACCUCCU
rnacentral:rRNA from 2 species